UAGGAGUCAUCAGACAAAAUUACCCUUUCCAUUUACAUCCUUCUCUUUUCCCAAUCAAUUCAACAACUAGCUCUCGGAAUCAAACCCAAUUACCCAAUUGAACAUGUUCUGAACGGUGAACUCCCAUGGCCAUUUUCGUUUCCUAUCCCUUCCUCUUUCGGUCUUUCCUCUUUCCAAAUCUCCCUAAUACCCUUCCAUGAACCUCCGUUUUGCAUCCAUAAACCACUAUUCCUCAAUUGAAAAAACCCUAAUUUACCUUAACCUCUCAGAAAUUUCUCUCUCCAACAUCUCUGGUAAGGGCAAGGAUGCCAGAGGCACCCAGAUCUGAUUCUACCUAAUUGCCACUCGGGCCCAUCUCAACCCUCCAUAGCCUCGCGAUGGUUGUCAUUUCCGGGAACACCAUUUGGCUCCGGUUCUUUCUCCGUGCCUGAGAUUCGCAACGUCGUUGGAUCCUCGCUUCCUCUGUUUGACAUUCAAAAUUGUUUACUCAUUGGGUAUGGUGUUGGUGAUUUAUUCGUUUCGGUAACUGUUUGGAUAAUGGGUUCUUAAUACCGGAGAUCAUGGUGGCCCUCGUUGAUAUUGGUUUGGUGGUUACUGGCAUUUUGUAGAGAGAGAGAGAGAGAGAGAGAGAUGUGGAAAACGAGGAGAGGAAAGGGGUGAAUGGAAGGAUAAAAGUGAGAUUCCAUAUUAACAUGUCGAGUGGCUCUAACGUUCUCCGUCGUGGCAUUCGCGCCACCCUAAGAGUUCUAUAUAUGCAAAUUACAGGCAUUCCAUGUGACAACCAACCCAUCAUCAUUUAACAAAGUUGGUUUUUUAGGUUUAUUUAUUGGGUUGACUGCAACUGUGGUUUCCACUCUCAAUUAUUGAUCAGCUAGUCCAUUAUAAUAUAGAGUUGUUCAUUCAACGUUAAGUUUCCAAUGAAGAGGACAAAAACUCAUUGUUUGAUGUUUAGCAAGCCGGCCGGAUCUAGAUCUCUCAAGUCCCUGUAAAAUUAGUUAAGAAGGACUAGCUAGGAUUAUUGAGUUCAUCCAGUAUUGCUCUGCCGGUUGAGAUCAAAAUGCUCACAAUCAGAAGAAUUUGCAGCUCUCCCUAAGCAUUGCAAACUAUCCACUCCGUCUCCACCCACCACGGUGUUUCUACCGCCUGAUCACUUCAAUUUCAACAAAAGUAUUUUCUUCUCCUUUUUCGUAAUUAUCUCAGACAUCCAACUUAGUUUAUUUUAUAUUUUUAUGUUUACCUAUCGUCUUCUGUAGUUUUUCAUUUUGUUCUUGAAGUGAGAUCGAUAUUUAUUACACACCAUUUUUGACAAUCAUCUCAGAUGGACUUUUAACGUGUCUCAGUUUUUUAUUUCAUUUUCCUUGUUAUGGUGUGAGCGAGUCAUACUAAUGACUGCUUGCAAAUACUACACAAUUUGCUUUCUUUAGUUUGAGAUGAGCUUCAAUAUCUUUGUCCAUUCAAAUUUAAUUGUGACAACUUGAAAUUUUUACUUUCUAACUAUUUCUCGAUUUGUUUGAAACCAGCGUUUCCCUAAUGGUUUUCAUGAAAAAAUAACAUUCUUCGUGAUCAUUAGGAAAAAAAUAUUGAUUCGUAAUUUAAUUUGCUGAAUAUCAAAUAGCUAGUUAUUUAAUUUUUUGAUUUGAUCAUUGAGCAUGGUGCAUAAGCCAUCCAUCCCAUGUUGUGAGAGCUAAAAUAUAGAGUUACAUGAUUUGCAGAUGCUGGAGGUUGAAGUCAUUUCCACAGAGAGAAUAAAACCAUCUUCUACAACUCCUCCUGACUUGAAAACCUACAAGAUUUCUCUUUUGGAUCAGCUCUUACCUCCUAUUCAAGUUCCCUCGGUUUUCUUCUAUCCCAACACACAGACGACUAGCAUCACCAAUAUCAUCUCUAAAAGAUCACAAACUCUAAAGCUGUCACUGGCACAAACCUUGACUCGCUAUUACCCAUUUGCUGGAAAGAUCAAAGAGGGUCAUCUUAGCGUUGAUUGUAAUGAUGUGGGGGUCUAUUAUGUGGAAGCCCGAGUAAACAGUCACCUUUUGGAUUUUCUUAGCCAACCCGACACUCAGUUAACACACCGGCUACUUCCUCGUGAACCCAUUCAUAUGGAGCCAAACGAGGAAUGAAUGUGGCAACAGUUCAAGUUAACUUCUUCAAAUGCGGUGGGAUUGCACUUAGCAUGUGCACUUCACACAAGAUCAUUGAUGGCCACACCGCCACCUCAUUUUUGAAAUCGUGGGCAGACACUGCUCAAGGCUUAAAAACAGAAUGCCCCAGUUUCAUUGCAUCUUCUCUCUUCCCCCAAAACUCUUCUCUGCCUAAAGACUCGUCCAUUGCUAUGUGGCCCUCUCCAGUAAAUCAAAGCAAAUAUGUCACAAGGAGAUUCCUAUUUGAUGCUUCGGCCUUGGUUGGGCUCAAGGCGAAAGCAGCUAGCUCAAAGUUUGUGCCCGUUCCAAGUCAUGUUGAGGCCGUGUUGGGGCUUAUUUGGAAAUCUGCAAUAGCUGCUUCAAACGCAGUAAAUGGGUUUCCCCAAAUCCUCUGUUUUUUCUCACUUGCGUAAUCUUGGAAGAAAAACUUUUUCCCCCAUUUUGCCAAACUUCUGUGGGAAAUCUUCAUUUGGAGUGCAGUUGCACAAUGGAUGCCCAAUACGCGGAGCGCAAAGUUGGAUGCUUGGUGGGGAAUUUAGGGACGCCAUAUGAAGAUUAAUGGCGGUUUUGUUCAGAAAUGCAAGGGAAGGAAGGUUUUUUGAGGUUAAGAGCUCUACAAGAGUGGGUGACGUGUACUCUACAAAGGGACCAUUAUUAUACAUUACAGUAUGUGCAUGGUGGCCUAUAUACGCUGAUUUUGGUGGUGUAAGCUAUUUGGGUGAGUCUAGGAGGCGCAGAGGAGCUACUGGUGACGAUCGAUUUUUUUUGAUGGAUAACGAGAUCGGGGGAUGAAUUCGAAGCCUGGGUGAGACUGAGUGAAGAAGAGAUGGCUGAGUUCGUGCGUGUCCUGAUUUCUGCGUUCGCGUUUCCUCCUUGAUCCAAGUCCCUCUAAGACUUACCUGGAUGAAUCUAUUGCUCGGAGUAGCAGUGAAGGGAUUACUUGAUCACGGGGUUUUCUGGGGACCAGUUGGAGUUUCUCAAUAUCCACAUCCCUCUGUGUGCACAUGUUUGCAGUGUAAUAAUGGUUGGAAAUUAAGUUCCAAAUUUUAAUAAAUACGAAAAGGAAAGUUGUGCCUUUUGUUUUAAAGAGUUGUGUAUUUUAGAAUUUAUUUUAAAUCGUAAGCUCAUUCUUAAAAAGACAUGUCUUUUAUAAAAAGAUGCAUCACUUCUAUAAAUUCUUGAGUGUAUCUUGAAAUAGUAUUUAGAACCUACACGAAGGGAGACAAAUACGACUUUAGGAUAACGAUUUUGUCUUGUCUCUCAUUGGUCUCACUCACAGACUAUUCUCUUAACCCUUAAUUUACCUAAGAUUUACUUAUUUUUGUUUAUUAUUUUGUGUAAGAGUUAUUUAAUGUAAUUGCGAUAAUAUUUGUGCUUAAAUUUUCAACAAUAUAUACCAAGUUAUAACUUCUAAAUUUGAUAAUUGCUGGGUUUUUUUUCUUAUCUUAUAAUUUUUGCUUUUUUUUUUGGUAAAUAAGAUUUUAUUACCAAAAAAAAAGGAAUACGAGGAGAAAAAUAUUCCCAAACAACAAACCAAAAGCUAAAGCCUAAAACAAGAGCCAAAGAGGAAAGUUUCAAUUCUCACAAAUAGAAAAAUUUUGAGCAAAUGCAAUAUUCUGAAACUGAAAAUUUUUAACUCGGAAAAUCAUGUAUAAUUUCCUGGAGAAUUAAUGGAGGGAUUUUAUGAAGCCCUGUAAAGAUUCUCUAGUUCCUUUCUUGCCACAGAUAAUAAACCAUAGCAGCUCAAGGCAUCUUCCUAGCAAUAUUAUAAUUUUUGUUACUAAAAUGUAUUGCCCAGCUUGGUGAAUAUGUUGCUAUGAUUAUUUUCCUUUCCAUAUGAAAUAUUGGAGAAAACACGGUUAUCGAGCAACCGUUUUAUCAUCUAACCAAAAUCUUAAACCAUGCUUGGGAAAAAGAAAAGACUUCAAAUCAGAAAAUCUCUAUCAAAAAAAUUAUGAAUAAACUUCAAAACUACAUUUUUUAGAAGUUAGUCCCUAAAACUUCAAGGGGUUACUGUAAUUAAAAAUGUCUCUUAUAUAUUUACUAAUUAGGACGUAUAUGUGAUGUCAUCACACUAUGUGUAUAUUUGUAUAUGUGUGUAUAUAUUAAAAUAUAAAUAUUAGUUUUGGUAAUAAUAAUUUGACCAUUUAAUUAAAUUGGGUCACUUGUAGUGUAAUUGGACUUAGGUAUAUUUUAUUUUGGGCUUAUGAGUGUUGACCAUUUUAAUGUCUAGUGAUUAGUGGGUUUGAUGUGUUUGUAAGUGGGUUGUGUGAGAGAGUGGCCUAUUACAUUGAUCCAUAACUAGUUUAAUUCUUGUUGUGUGAGCCAAACAAGGCCCAAGGUGCAAGUGGCAUUUAUUUCUUUCUCUCCUUUUAAUCUAAACUCCAAAAAUUUCAGAAUUUACUUUUGCAUUUAUUUCUAUCUCUCUAGGGUUUGAGCCAAAUGAGAGUUUCACAUUUGAGCUAUCUCUAGGGUUUGAGCCAAAUGAGAGUUUCACAUUUGAGCUAAGAUUUGAGUGUGUUAAAAUGAGAUUUAGGUAUUGAUUCUUUUAGGAGAAAAUCUUCUACUCAACGAGGACUUCACAUUGAACUAAAAAGAUUUGAAAUCGGAGUAACUCGGGAUUUCGGUCAUAUCUCUUCUUCACCAUUCCCUCGGAACUUUCUUAACUUUAGGAGUGUGUUGACGGCUUAUACUUAGCCUAUUAGGGCAAUAUAUUGGAUAUUAAACCCUAGUUUGAAAAACAUAACUUCAAAUCUCCUUGCCAGUCAAAUCUCAAAGUUUAGGAGAGACUUUUCAUCCCAAAGUUUCAAGUUCAAAUCUCCUGCCCAGUCAUCUGGCAUUUAGCGCAAAAGUUGGUGG
rnacentral:lncRNA from 1 species